rnacentral:rRNA from 2 species
GGUGCUUGCACCUGAUUGAUUUUGGUCGCCAACGAGUGGCGGACGGGUGAGUAACACGUAGGUAACCUGCCCAGAAGCGGGGGACAACAUUUGGAAACAGAUGCUAAUACCGCAUAACAACGUUGUUCGCAUGAACAACGCUUAAAAGAUGGCUUCUCGCUAUCACUUCUGGAUGGACCUGCGGUGCAUUAGCUUGUUGGUGGGGUAACGGCCUACCAAGGCGAUGAUGCAUAGCCGAGUUGAGAGACUGAUCGGCCACAAUGGGACUGAGACACGGCCCAUACUCCUACGGGAGGCAGCAGUAGGGAAUCUUCCACAAUGGGCGCAAGCCUGAUGGAGCAACACCGCGUGAGUGAAGAAGGGUUUCGGCUCGUAAAGCUCUGUUGUUAAAGAAGAACACGUAUGAGAGUAACUGUUCAUACGUUGACGGUAUUUAACCAGAAAGUCACGGCUAACUACGUGCCAGCAGCCGCGGUAAUACGUAGGUGGCAAGCGUUAUCCGGAUUUAUUGGGCGUAAAGAGAGUGCAGGCGGUUUUCUAAGUCUGAUGUGAAAGCCUUCGGCUUAACCGGAGAAGUGCAUCGGAAACUGGAUAACUUGAGUGCAGAAGAGGGUAGUGGAACUCCAUGUGUAGCGGUGGAAUGCGUAGAUAUAUGGAAGAACACCAGUGGCGAAGGCGGCUACCUGGUCUGCAACUGACGCUGAGACUCGAAAGCAUGGGUAGCGAACAGGAUUAGAUACCCUGGUAGUCCAUGCCGUAAACGAUGAGUGCUAGGUGUUGGAGGGUUUCCGCCCUUCAGUGCCGGAGCUAACGCAUUAAGCACUCCGCCUGGGGAGUACGACCGCAAGGUUGAAACUCAAAGGAAUUGACGGGGGCCCGCACAAGCGGUGGAGCAUGUGGUUUAAUUCGAAGCUACGCGAAGAACCUUACCAGUCUUGACGUCUUGCCCCAACCCU